GACGAACGCUGGAGGCGUGCUUAACACAUGCAAGUCGAACGAUGAAAUGGAGCUUGCUCCAUGGAUUAGUGGCGAACGGGCGAGUAACACGUGAAUAACCUGCCGUUAAUUUUGGAAUAUCCUAGGGAAACCUGGGCUUAUACUGGAUAAGUAAAUCUGUGUUAUCCCAAGGAUUUGGAAAGUUUUUCGAUUAAGGAUGGAUUCGCGGCCGAUCAGCUUGUUGGUGAGGUAAUGGCUCACCAAGGCGACGAAGGGUAGCCGGCCUGAGAGGGUGAACGGUCACACUGGGACUGAGACACGGCCCAGACUCCUACGGGAGGCAGCAGUGGGGAAUAUUGCGCAAUGGACGAAAGUCUGACGCAGCGACGCCUCGUGAGGGACGAAGGUCUUCGGAUUGUAAACCUCUUUCAGCAGGGCCGAAGCGAAAGUGACGGUACCUGAAGAGGAAGCACCGGCUACUAUGUGCCAGCCGCCGCGGUAA
rnacentral:rRNA from 1 species